AUUGAACGCUGGCGGCAUGCUUUACACAUGCAAGUCGAACGGCAGCGCGGGGCAACCUGGCGGCGAGUGGCGAACGGGUGAGUAAUACAUCGGAACGUACCCAGAAGUGGGGGAUAACGUAGCGAAAGUUACGCUAAUACCGCAUACGACCUAAGGGUGAAAGUGGGGGACCGCAAGGCCUCAUGCUUUUGGAGCGGCCGAUGUCUGAUUAGCUAGUUGGUGAGGUAAAGGCUCACCAAGGCGACGAUCAGUAGCUGGUCUGAGAGGACGACCAGCCACACUGGGACUGAGACACGGCCCAGACUCCUACGGGAGGCAGCAGUGGGGAAUUUUGGGACAAUGGGGGCAACCCUGAUCCAGCAAUGCCGCGUGAGUGAAGAAGGCCUUCGGGUUGCAAAGCUCUUUGUCAGGGAAGAAACGGUUCUGGUUAAUACCUGGGGCUAAUGACGGUACCUGAAGAAUAAGCACCGGCUAACUACGUGCCAGCAGCCGCGGUAAU
rnacentral:rRNA from 1 species